GACGAACGCUGGCGGCGUGCUUAACACAUGCAAGUCGAACGGAAAGGCCCUGCUUUUGUGGGGUGCUCGAGUGGCGAACGGGUGAGUAACACGUGAGUAACCUGCCCUUGACUUUGGGAUAACUUCAGGAAACUGGGGCUAAUACCGGAUAGGAGCUCCUGCUGCAUGGUGGGGGUUGGAAAGUUUCGGCGGUUGGGGAUGGACUCGCGGCUUAUCAGCUUGUUGGUGGGGUAGUGGCUUACCAAGGCUUUGACGGGUAGCCGGCCUGAGAGGGUGACCGGCCACAGUGGGAUUGAGAUACGGCCCAGACUCCUACGGGAGGCAGAAGUGGGGAUUAUUGCACAAUGGGCGGAAGCCUGAUGCAGCAACGCCGCGUGCGGGAUGACGGCCUUCGGGUUGUAAACCGCUUUCGCCUGUGACGAAGCGUGAGUGACGGUAAUGGGUAAAGAAGCACCGGCUAACUACGUG
rnacentral:rRNA from 1 species